ensembl:lncRNA
AUUGCUAAUGACUGUCACUUGCUGCCAGUGUGAUUGGCUACCAGAUAAAACACCUGGGGAGGGCCACAUGCGACAUCAAUUACUGUGUUCCAGUGGUAUAGUUUACAGCUGGGCUGCGCUUGGUUGUUGACAGUGGUGGGCCACCUACAGGCCAAAGCUCCCUUUUGAUUUGGCAUGAUUCAUGUUUUUGAAUGUUUUGUGACAUGGAUUUUGCUAGCUGUCCCAGUCUGUGGUCUGUUCCAGAGUCCUAGUUCCAAGCCCAGUUCACAUCCAGAAGUCAACCAAUGAGAGCGCCUGGGGAAUGGGAGUGAUGCUGGGAGCUGCAGGGCCUUCUUGGUUAACCUCUACAUCAC